GAGUUUGAUCAUGGCUCAGAACGUACGCUGGCGGCACGCCUAACACAUGCAAGUCGAACGCAGUAGCAAUACUGAGUGGCAAACGGGUGAGUAUAAUGUGGGAAUCUGCCUUUUGGUUUGGAAUAACACGGGGAAACUUGUGCUAAUACCGAAUAAGCCCUUACGGGGAAAGUUUUAACGCCGAAAGAUGAGCCUGCACUUGAUUAGCUAGUUGGUAAGGUAAAGGCUUACCAAGGCAACGAUCAAUAGCUGUUCUUAGAGGAAGACCAGCCACAUUGGGACUGAGACACGGCCCAGACUCCUACGGGAGGCAGCAGUGGGGAAUCUUGCACAAUGGGGGAAACCCUGAUGCAGCGAUGCCGCGUGAGUGAAGAAGGCCUUUGGGUUGUAAAACUCUUUCGUCGGGGAAGAAAAUGACUGUACCCGAAUAAGAAGGUCCGGCUAACUUCGUGCCAGCAGCCGCGGUAAUACGAAGGGACCUAGCGUAGUUCGGAAUUACUGGGCUUAAAGAGCUCGUAGGUGGUUAAAAAAGUUGAUGGUGAAAUCCCAAGGCUCAACCUUGGAACUGCCAUCAAAACUUUUUAGCUAGAGUGUGAUAGAGGUAAGUGGAAUUUCUAGUGUAGAGGUGAAAUUCGUAGAUAUUAGAAAGAACACCAAAUGCGAAGGCAACUUACUGGGUCACUACUGACACUGAGGAGCGAAAGCAUGGGUAGCGAAGAGGAUUAGAUACCCUCGUAGUCCAUGCCGUAAACGAUGUGUGCUAGACGUUGGAAAUAUAUUUUUCAGUGUCGCAGCGAAAGCAUUAAGCACACCGCCUGGGGAGUACGACCGCAAGGUUAAAACUCAAAUG
rnacentral:rRNA from 1 species